rnacentral:rRNA from 1 species
AUUGAACGCUGGCGGCAGGCCUAACACAUGCAAGUCGAGCGGAUGAAGGGAGCUUGCUCCUGGAUUCAGCGGAGGACGGGUGAGUAAUGCCUAGGAAUCUGCCUGGUAGUGGGGGAUAACGUCCGGAAACGGGCGCUAAUACCGCAUACGUCCUGAGGGAGAAAGUGGGGGAUCUUCGGACCUCACGCUAUCAGAUGAGCCUAGGUCGGAUUAGCUAGUUGGUGGGGUAAAGGCCUACCAAGGCGACGAUCCGUAACUGGUCUGAGAGGAUGAUCAGUCACACUGGAACUGAGACACGGUCCAGACUCCUACGGGAGGCAGCAGUGGGGAAUAUUGGACAAUGGGCGAAAGCCUGAUCCAGCCAUGCCGCGUGUGUGAAGAAGGUCUUCGGAUUGUAAAGCACUUUAAGUUGGGAGGAAGGGCAGUAAGUUAAUACCUUGCUGUUUUGACGUUACCAACAGAAUAAGCACCGGCUAACUACGUG